CCAAUGACUCUGUGGUUCAAUAAAAAUGGUUCAAAGUGAACCCAAACCCUGUGUUGACCCCAGAGAUUUCCGCAAAUGUGGGAAACUUGACUGCAUAAUUUGUGGUAGUGGGGGACUGUGUACGUGCUUUCCCCCC
rnacentral:snRNA from 1 species